AGAGUUUGAUCCUGGCUCAGGAUGAACGCUAGCGAUAGGCCUAACACAUGCAAGUCGAGGGGCAGCACAUGAGUAGCAAUACGAUGGUGGCGACCGGCGCACGGGUGAGUAACACGUAUGCAACCUACCUCUAACAGGGGGAUAACCCGUUGAAAGACGGACUAAUACCCCAUAAUACAGGGGCUCCGCAUGGAGAUAUUUGUUAAAGAUUUUAUCGGUUAGAGAUGGGCAUGCGUUCCAUUAGCUAGUUGGUGAGGUAACGGCUCACCAAGGCGACGAUGGAUAGGGGAACUGAGAGGUUUAUCCCCCACACUGGAACUGAGACACGGUCCAGACUCCUACGGGAGGCAGCAGUGAGGAAUAUUGGUCAAUGGAGGCAACUCUGAACCAGCCAAGUCGCGUGAAGGAUGAAGGUCUUAUGGAUUGUAAACUUCUUUUGCAGGGGAAUAAAUAGCGGUACGUGUACCGUUUUGCAUGUACCCUGCGAAUAAGGAUCGGCUAACUCCGUGCCAGCAGCCGCGGUAAUACGGAGGAUCCGAGCGUUAUCCGGAUUUAUUGGGUUUAAAGGGUGCGCAGGCGGGAGAUUAAGUCGGCGGUGAAAUUUUGCAGCUCAACUGUAAAAGUGCCUUCGAUACUGGUUUCCUUGAGUGUGGAUGAAGUAGGCGGAAUUUGUGGUGUAGCGGUGAAAUGCUUAGAUAUCACGAGGAACUCCGAUUGCGCAGGCAGCUUACUAAACCACUACUGACGCUCAGGCACGAAGGCGUGGGGAGCAAACCGGAUUAGAUACCCGGGUAGUCCUAGCCGUAAACGAUGCUCACUAGGUGUAGGGAGUGAUAAACUCUCUGUGCUGAAGCGAACGCGCUAA
rnacentral:rRNA from 1 species